UACGGAGGGUGCAAGCGUUGCUCGGAAUUAUUGGGCGUAAAGGGUAGGUAGGUGGUCUCGUUUGUCUGGGGUGAAAGCCUUGAGCUUAACUCAAGAAGUGCCCCAGAAACGGCGAGACUAGAGUUCUGGAGAGGGUCGUGGAAUUCCCGGUGUAGCGGUGAAAUGCGUAGAUAUCAGGAGGAACACCCGAGGCGAAGGCGGCUCUCUGGGUCGUACCUGACGCUGAGGCGCGAAAGCGUGGGGAGCAAACAGG
rnacentral:rRNA from 1 species